GACGUAGGGCGCGAGCGUUGUCCGGAUUUAUUGGGCGUAAAGAGCUCGUAGGCGGCUUGUCGCGUCGACCGUGAAAACUUGGGGCUCAACCCUAAGCCUGCGGUCGAUACGGGCAGGCUCGAGUUCGGUAGGGGAGACUGGAAUUCCUGGUGUAGCGGUGAAAUGCGCAGAUAUCAGGAGGAACACCGGUGGCGAAGGCGGGUCUCUGGGCCGAUACUGACGCUGAGGAGCGAAAGCAUGGGUAGCGAACAGG
rnacentral:rRNA from 1 species